rnacentral:lncRNA from 1 species
GGACCACGUAGCACUUCUGCGAUAGUGCUUCCCACGGCGGUCCGGAAUUAUAAUCUGAAGCCCAAUGAUUCAAACCUGUUGCCGCUCUUUUAUUGGGAUGCCCAGUGAGGACGCCUUGCAGUUCAUCCGUGAUUUCUGCACCCAAGUGCAGACAUUCCCACUGCUGGAACUCACCGAGGAUCAGUUGAGACUCAAGUGCUUACCCUACGCACUCAAGGACCGGG